UGCUCCUCGUGCUUGAACUAGCACUGUCGUACCUACACAUGAGUAAUUAAUACUGAGGCCUAAUAUGAAGAGUAGAAUGCUUGAUAUCUGGUGGGCGGGGCUUGUGGGUUAUGCUCUGGAAUCAGCCCCUCCCUUCAGUGUGUGUUCAGUUAAGAAUGUCAGUUAAGAGGGACCAACUGCCUCUUCUUGCCUCUUGCCCCAGAUUUGCCUCAUGUUUUUGUAUUUAGUUUCUCUCAUUAUGUUAUUUUUUUACAGUUUUCUCUCAGUUUAUCAUUAAAGCUUGUUUACAUUUACGUGAGUCACUUAUUUUUCUCAAAGAAAAAGAAACUCUGCUGAAGAAUGGUGGAAUAUUCUAAACUUGGGUUGGAUGCUCCUCCUCUCUCAUAGGCCAGAAUGCACAUCAUUCAGCAGACGACAUUCUCCAUCCAAUAUAUCAUCUGGACUGGAUAACAACUUGGAAGAGCAUCCUGUGAAGGCUAAAAUGCAGUUGAGGCAUGGCCAGGUCCUCUAGAUAAGACCAUACGGGCAGCAGUGGAGUGUUUUAAGGCAAGGAAGGUUUCCAAAUUAAGCUCAGUGAGAACUGUGGAAACAGCUCCUCUGUGUGCAGUAUUUAAAAUGGAAGAUUAUUAUAGCCCAAAGCAGACAAGGACCCUGUUUUCCUGCAUACCUGCACAAUGAACAAUCUCCCGUGCUCCUUUCUGCCUUUCUUUGUACAGUCCUGCUGCAGCUCUUGCCUUCCUCUUUCCUUUAUCCCUUGUAAUUUGCACAGAGGGUUGCUUCUGUAGCCAAUUUAUUUGUAAAGUUUCCUUCUGCAAGGGGAAAACACCGGUGGUUAAAAAAUAGGAAUGAAAAUUAUAGAACUGCUUUCCAGAA